rnacentral:rRNA from 1 species
GAUGAACGCUGGCGGCGUGCCUAAUACAUGCAAGUCGAGCGAACGGACGAGAAGCUUGCUUCUCUGAUGUUAGCGGCGGACGGGUGAGUAACACGUGUAUAACCUACCUAUAAGACUGGGAUAACUUCGGGAAACCGGAGCUAAUACCGGAUAAUAUUUUGAACCGCAUGGUUCAAAAGUGAAAGACGGUCUUGCUGUCACUUAUAGAUGGAUCCGCGCUGCAUUAGCUAGUUGGUAAGGUAACGGCUUACCAAGGCAACGAUGCAUAGCCGACCUGAGAGGGUGAUCGGCCACACGGGAACUGAGACACGGUCCAGACUCCUACGGGAGGCAGCAGUAGGGAAUCUGCCGCAAUGGGCGAAAGCCUGACGGAGCAACGCCGCGUGAGUGAUGAAGGUCUUCGGAUCGUAAAACUCUGUUAUUAGGGAAGAACAUAUGUGUAAGUAACUGUGCACAUCUUGACGGUACCUAAUCAGAAAGCCACGGCUAACUACGUG